GACGAACGCUGGCGGCGUGCUUAACACAUGCAAGUCGAACGGUAAGGCCCUUCGGGGUACACGAGUGGCGAACGGGUGAGUAACACGUGGGUGAUCUGCCCUGCACUUCGGGAUAAGCCUGGGAAACUGGGUCUAAUACCGGAUAGGACCACUGCCUGCAUGGGUGGUGGUGGAAAGCGUUUGCGGUGUGGGAUGGGCCCGCGGCCUAUCAGCUUGUUGGUGGGGUGAUGGCCUACCAAGGCGACGACGGGGAGCCGGCCUGAGAGGGUGACCGGCCACACUGGGACUGAGAUACGGCCCAGACUCCUACGGGAGGCAGCAGUGGGGAAUAUUGCACAAUGGGCGCAAGCCUGAUGCAGCGACGCCGCGUGAGGGAUGACGGCCUUCGGGUUGUAAACCUCUUUCAGCACCGACGAAGCGCAAGUGACGGUAGGUGCAGAAGAAGGACCGGCCAACUACGUGCCAGCAGCCGCGGUAA
rnacentral:rRNA from 1 species